UUGAUCCUGGCUCAGAAUCAACGCUGGCGGCGUGCCUAACACAUGCAAGUCGAACGCGGUUAUCCCGCAAGGGAUAACUGAGUGGCGAACGGGUGAGUAUCACGUGGGUGACCUACCUUCGAGUGGGGGAUAACGUCCCGAAAGGGACGUUAAUACCGCAUAACAUCCUGCCUUUGAACAGGUGGAGAUCAAAGCUGGGUAUCGCAAGACCUGGCGCUUGAUGAGGGGCCCGCGUCCGAUUAGCUAGUUUGUGGGGUAACGGCCCACCAAGGCGACGAUCGGUAACCGGCCUGAGAGGGUGGACGGUCACACUGGGACUGAGACACGGCCCAGACUCCUACGGGAGGCAUCAGUGGGGAAUUGUUCGCAAUGGGCGCAAGCCUGACGACGCAACGCCGCUUGGAGGAUGAAGGUCUUCGGAUUGUAGACUCCUGUUGCUCGGGACGAAAUGCUUCAACCUAAUACGUUGAAGUUUGACGGUACCGGGUGAGGAAGCCCCUGCUAACUCUGUGCCAGCAGCCGCGGUAAUAAGGU
rnacentral:rRNA from 1 species